rnacentral:rRNA from 1 species
GAUGAACGCUGACAGAAUGCUUAACACAUGCAAGUCAACUUGAAUUUGGGUUUUUAACUUAGAUUUGGGUGGCGGACGGGUGAGUAACGCGUAAAGAACUUGCCUCACAGCUAGGGACAACAUUUAGAAAUGAAUGCUAAUACCUGAUAUUAUGAUUUUAAGGCAUCUUAGAAUUAUGAAAGCUAUAAGCACUGUGAGAGAGCUUUGCGUCCCAUUAGCUAGUUGGAGAGGUAACAGCUCACCAAGGCGAUGAUGGGUAGCCGGCCUGAGAGGGUGAACGGCCACAAGGGGACUGAGACACGGCCCUUACUCCUACGGGAGGCAGCAGUGGGGAAUAUUGGACAAUGGACCGAGAGUCUGAUCCAGCAAUUCUGUGUGCACGAUGAAGUUUUUCGGAAUAUAAAGUGCUUUCAGUUGGGAAGAAAGAAAUGACGGUACCAACAGAAGAAGUGACGGCUAAAUACGUGCCAGCAGCCGCGGUAAUACGUAUGUCACGAGCGUUAUCCGGAUUUAUUGGGCGUAAAGCGCGUCUAGGUGGUUAUGUAAGUCUGAUGUGAAAAUGCAGGGCUCAACUCUGUAUUGCGUUGGAAACUGUAUAACUAGAGUACUGGAGAGGUAAGCGGAACUACAAGUGUAGAGGUGAAAUUCGUAGAUAUUUGUAGGAAUGCCGAUGGGGAAGCCAGCUUACUGGACAGAUACUGACGCUAAAGCGCGAAAGCGU